CCUGGUGGCUCAGAUGGUAAAGCAUCUGCCUGCAAUGCGGGAGACCCGGGUUCAAUUCCUGGGUCAGGA
rnacentral:tRNA from 1 species